rnacentral:rRNA from 1 species
UAGUGAGUUUGAUCCUGGCUCAGAACGAACGCUGGCGGCAGGCCUAACACAUGCAAGUCGAACGGGUCCUUCGGGACUAGUGGCGGACGAGUGAGUAACGCGUGGGAACGUGCCCUUUGGUUCGGAAUAGCCUCGGGAAAACCGGGAGUAAUACCGGAUGAGCCCUUCGGGGGAAAGAUUUAUCGCCAAAGGAUCGGCCCGCGUUGGAUUAGGUAGUUGGUGGGGUAAUGGCCUACCAAGCCGACGAUCCAUAGCUGGUUUGAGAGGACGAUCAGCCACACGUGGGACUGAGACACGGCCCAGACUCCGUACGGGA